rnacentral:lncRNA from 1 species
GGGGAGUCGAGGGACACAGCGUUUGUUUAGUCUAGGGGAUUCGAGGGACACAGCUUCUGUUUAGUCUAGGGGAGUCGAGGGACACAGCGUUCUGUUAGUCUAGGGGAGUCGAGGGACACAGCUUUCUGUUUAGUAGGGGAGUCGAGGGACACAGCUUUCUGUUUAGUCUAGGGGAGUCGAGGGACACAGCUUUCUGUUUAGUCUAGGGGAGUCGAGGGACACAGCUUUCUGUUUAGUCUAGGGGAGUCGAGGGACACCUUUCUGUUUAGUCUAGGGGAGUCGAGGGACACAGCUUUCUGUUUAAGUCUAGGGGUCGAGGGACACAGCGUUUCUGGUUAGUUAGGGGGUCGAGGCAACAGCGUUCUGUUUAGUCUAGGGGAGGUAGUUGA